GACGAACGCUGGCGGCGUGCCUAAUACAUGCAAGUCGAACGCAGUGGGGACGGUUUAGUAACACGUGGGUAACCUCCCAUCAGAGGAGAUAACACUUGGAAACAGGUGCUAAACCGAUACUGAUGGAUGGACCCGCGGUGCAUUAGCUAGUCGGUGAGGUAACGGCUCACCAAGGCCAAGAUGCUGAGCUGAGCUGAGAGGAUGAUCGGCCACACUGGGACUGAGACACGGCCCAGACUCCUACGGGAGGCAGCAGUGGGGAAUGUUCGGCAAUGGGCGCAAGUCUGACGGAGCAAUGCCGCGUGAGUGAAGAAGGUUUUCGGGUCGUAAAACGCUUUUGUUAGAGAAGCGUUAUCUAACCAAAAAGCCACGGCUAACUCCGUGCCAGCAGCCGCGGUAAUUC
rnacentral:rRNA from 1 species